rnacentral:rRNA from 1 species
UACAGAGGUCUCAAGCGUUGUUCGGAUUCAUUGGGCGUAAAGGGUGCGUAGGCGGCGCGGUAAGUCGGAUGUGAAAUCUCGGGGCUUAACUCCGAAACUGCAUUCGAUACUGCCGUGCUUGAGGACUGGAGAGGAGACUGGAAUUUACGGUGUAGCGGUGAAAUGCGUAGAUAUCGUAAGGAAGACCAGUGGCGAAGGCGGGUCUCUGGGCCGUAACUGACGCUGAGGAGCGAAAGCGUGGGGAGCAAACAGG